GAGGCAGAACAAUUGAGGCGAAUCCUGUUCCAACCUCGAUGAUAAACACAUGGAAAAGGCUGUGACUGCUCUGCGGAUUGCUGGAAUUUGGGGAGACAUUAGGAAAAUAAACACACCGAUGGCUCCGCAUCGGCGGUACAUGCAGUGAAAGGAUUUGGCGGCAGUGAAGGCAGAAUCUGCUGCUUUAGGGGCACUGGACCUGAAAAGCUAUCGACGGAGCUUUACACCUCCAAUGACUCCACGAAUCGAUGUGAGCCGGGCACACGCCUGAAUCCAAUCAGACCCGGGUUUUUGAAGAAACUUUUCUUUCCCGUGAGCUCCAGGCAGCAAAACGCUGUUUGAGGAGACCGCGAGCCGCUUUCCGGGCUGCUGCUAUAAUUAAUUUAGGUGUGGCGAUCCCAGAUCCGAGGGAGAAGGAAAUGAUUGAUGCCGCCAGAACCCCCUUCCCUUACGCAGCCCCGAGCAGCGCCCGGCGCAGGCUGGCAAACUGCUUUUCUGUCCAGAGAUCAACCAGGGGGCCUGAUACUUUUUAUUUUGUUACUUGCACCAUGGGAGAACUUGUAUCAUCGAAAGACAAUUUCAUUUUGAGUCCACUGCUUGUGAGCACUGUUGAUCCUGGACGUCACUAGCAAUAUGAGCCUUGGCAAUAAAUCGUUACAGAGGGCGGGGACCCAGGGAGACUCUACAGAUGUGAACACAGCCCAUUGGAUCAAACAUGUUGAUCCAGGUACCUCUGGACAAGAUCGAGCACACAUGACAAAUGCUUCUGACUUCUUUUUAAAUCGAACCUGGAAGGUCAUCGCUGAACAAACAGAAUGCUAUACAACCGUGGCCAUAAAUUGUGAAAGCUAACAAUAAGUGCAAGAUUACUCCCUUGGGAAAGCAGAUACCUGUGUUCUGAGACAUGAAUCUACACUAUAAUCUCGCAGCGUAAACAGGAUAUGAGCAGUUUCAUUAUGUACUUCUCAGAUGCAUCUUUAACCAGGAUAAACUACUCUCACAGAGGUUGAAAGGACUGAAUUUGCAAUAUUAAUAAAAUGCCCUUUUUUGUUUGUUUGUUUGUUUUUUGGUGAAAGAAAGUCCUGUCUGAAACUGACAAACUAAUUUUGCAGAAGAAAUCAUGACACUCAUUCAAAAGGAACAUCCAUUCUCCAAAAGGACAAUGUGGGAUAUCAGUACUGAUUUAAGGAAGUCUUUAAAAACUUUUUAGAAGGCUCUCAUAUAUAUAUUUAUUUAUCUACUAGGUAAGAAAGUCAACUAUGCUGAAAGAUUAUAUCUGAAGAACUGCUGAGGAUAAAAAUUUUUAAUAGCAUGCACUCAAUUCCUUCUACCAUGAAUGAAUCAGUUAUCUGUAAGAAUUCCUUCUCUUGUUAAUAUGAAGAACAAAAAAGGUAGUCAAGAAUAUGGCUUUCAUACAGGGCUUCAAGCCUUUUUAUUUUCAUUAACACAUACUUGUAAACAUCUGCAUAGUUGUGUUGUAAACAGAUAAAGAAGUCUUUUGGAAUGAAAGGCAAUUUACAAAAGCUGAUUAAGAAUCCUUUACACUUGGAUAAUGUUUAUACAUGGUCAAACUAGUAGGUCAUCUUACCUCCUUACUUGACCUAAAGACCAGAAUAUGUAGAUGAACUUAGGCAUGACCUUUAUAUCUACUUUUAUUCCUUCUUGCUUCCUGUGAUGUAGGGUUUUUAAGAAAAUAGAGAACUACUCUAUGACAAACCUUUAUACAAUGACCUAGAGGUAUAAUGGUAUUACUUUAAGACUGCUUUGAAUUUGAUUUGGUCUAAAAGUUAAGACAAUUACAGGUAUUUCACAGUUCAGUACACAAAAAUAGUGGUUAGAACAAGUUAGAUUGAGUGGAGAUUUGUGGAUUCCUACUAUUGCUUAUUUUUUCUAUUUUUAUUUUUGUGAUAAUGAGACUGAAGAGGAAACAUUAGUACUAUUAUCUGCUUGCAUUUUGGGUAAUACCAUUCUGACCCAAUGUAGAUGAUCCUAAAAUUACUGAGUAAACACAAAAAAGCCCAGAGAAAUAUUUAGUAUCCUGUAACAUACUUCAUAUUCUUAUGUCUUAAGUAGCUGUAAUACUUUAGGAUAAACACUUCUAUACAAAAUAAAAUAAUUAUAAUUAUUUUCAAAGACUUACCUACUGGUACUUCUAAAAUAAAGUCUGGUGUUUUGUCAUAACCCUUUGCACGAAGCUGAUCUUCGGCUACACAGAGAGAACAAGACCUAUUGUUUAUAAAACUCUUCUAUUAAGUAGACAGCAGUAUAAUUAAUUUUAUUUUAAAUAACAGUGUAAGAAUUACUAAUGCAGUCAUACAUAUCUUUCUUAUGCAUGCAAUGAUGUGUCAGAUUAAAUGAACCUUUGUAGAAAACCUGAAGCAUGGAUAUAAAAAUGCUUCUUUGUCAUCCCUGCAUUUUUAUGUCUUCAUUAUAAACAUCAUUAAUUCAAGCUGUCAUACAGUAUUUUAUAACCUCCAAAUAUUCAAAAUAAAGAGAUAGAUUCACUGAUUGAAAGAAGAGUUUCCUCACAUUAGGGAGCUGUUGAGAUUAAUCCUACCAACACCACAAAUGUAGAUAUAUUGCAGCUGCCUUCAUGGCUUUAUUUUAAUGUUAACACAAAGGUGUUUAAAACAAACAAACAAAAAAAACCAACAACCACCAACAUGACAGUUCUUCUCUUCCAGAAAUCUAUUAAAGAAGAGGGAUGUCAUGAUUCUAGCUUCUCUUACUGUAAAAUUAAUUAAACACAUAAAAAUUUAGAUAUUUUCUUAACAUAAGCUAUACAACUCUACUGCUUCUGAAUUAAAUCUGAAUGUUUUAAGAAACGAGUAAGAAAGAAGAGAGCAAAAAAAAGGAUGCUUCCUUUAAAAAGGAAAAAGAGCACAAAGCAAGCCCUCACUGUUUUUUAAACUAUUGUCCUUGAUUUCCAAUACCAUUACAUUGGUAUUUCCGAAACACCAUUUCUCCAUUAGAUUUUGGAGUGACCUGGUCAUUCAAUUCCAGGCAUGGCUUUCUGUCUUCACCGAAGCUCAACUAAUGGCACAACCUAGUAACAAGUAAGGCUGUGUAGCCCCUUAACACCUACUGGGCUGUUGACAUUGUCAUGCAUCCCAUUCGCCUCUCUACACCACCUUUGAUUAAAAUUAAUGGUCCAUUCUCACUGUUGGGUAGCUUAUUUCCAAUCCAUUUAUCAGGUUAGGACAGUAGUUUCAUGGCCAGUGUUCAGAACUCAGUUUUAGAAUAUUUUGUGCAUAUUCUGAAAGGUCAGCAAUUUGAGUCCAAGCAACCUUUUAAUGACAAGAAAAAUAUAUACACGUAGAAAUAAAAAUAUUUUAAUAUUGCCUAAAGCCCUCCUUCCCUUUCCUUGUUGAAAAAAAAAGUCCAAAGUCUUUUUUUCAAGACAGUGAACUAACUAAUACUGCAAGUAGGACAGCAGUAAUUCUGAAAAGUUGUACGUUCAGUUAAGUGCAAACUACAAUGGUGGAUUAUUCUUUUUGACAGCUAUAGUAUUUCUUUUGAAUUUUGACAGCAUUUCUUCAUAGUAAACACACUGCACUUUAAAUGCAGGUCUCUGGAAUGGAACACUAAUUUAUAUUACCUGGUCAGCUACUAAAUUUUCAUAGGAUCUGGAGCCAGUCUUGACUGUUGGCUACUUUCAAACUUUGAUUGUUAGAUAUAUGGACAAAAUAUGCUUAGAUUAGCAAGGUUCUGGCUUAACAGAACCUAUGGUCUUUAUGCCACAGUAUAAAAAUGAAUGCAAUUCCUUUAUCUUGAAAAAAAACCAACCAAACAAACCCAGCUUUAUCAAGCUCUCUUGCAAUUAUUUAGAGCAGUAGGAAAGGAAAGGAAAACAAGAUAUCCCCACUGAAAUUUUAAUGUAGGCAAUACACAAAUAGUAAUAGAAAGUUCAGACUUUUCUAUCAUAUAUAACAAAAUUCAGUAUCAGAAAUUUAAGGAAAUUUACCUUAAACAAAAAUCGCUACACUGGAAACCAGGGCAGAUAACAUGUCCUGACAGGUCAAUUUGGAAGAUGUUUGAAAUGGUGUUUAAUACUCUUCACUAGACUCUUUUUUUGAGGAUGUCUGAGUACUUUUGAAAUUAUUUGACUCAUGGCUUGGAACAGAGUAUGAUUUCUGUUUUAAAUUUUUUUCUGAACGUUUUCACUUGGCUUUUCUAAACAGUUUGAACUAGGAGAAAUGGUGAAAAAUACAUUAAAAAAUACCUUUAUUAUUGAUGUAAGUUGACAAUAAUGUGAAACAAAAUAAUUGUAUUUUACUGUUUCUUCAAUUGUUUUGAACUUUACAACUUUGGAAAAGAAAAGAAUUACAGAAAUUCACCCAGAUCACCCUUUGAAAACAUUUUUUAAGCCCAAACCCCAUCAAAAGAAAGAAAGUACAAUCUUUUCAGCCCAUAAGUGUUUUAGGUUGGUACAGAAGUCUUAGAGGUAUCAUUCUGCACACUUCCAAAGAUUUUUUAGCUUUCGUAUGCAUCAAAAUAAUGGCUUAACAACUACUUGAAAACCAGAUGAUGGCAGUUCAAGCUCUUCAUCUUAGAAUAUGAAAGUUACACUGAAACAAUCCUAAUUUUGCUCACAUAUCAGUUUGUAUUUCCAACACAUCUAGAACUUCAUCUUUACUUAUACUCAAUCUUGACCAUUUAAAUUUGAGCAACCUGGUCUAUUGAAAGGUGUCCAUGCACAUGGCAAGGUUUGCAAUUAGAUGAUCUUUAAAGUCCCUUCCAAACCAAACCAUUCUGUGAUUCUGUGAACUCGUCAUUGUUUUUAUACUAGCCUCUGGAUAUAACAAAGAAACCAAAUGUUCUUCUAAUGGUGCAUGAAUAUGCAGCAACUGCACAUUUUUGAUUACAGCAGAAAACACCAAACAGAUUUCAUGAUUUAUAUGCAGGCUACCAAGGGACAUCAUGGUGGCAGCCAAAGAAGGUUAAGAUUCUAGAAACCUCAGUUAGAUAUCUUCCCAUUAUUGCUAAACCUUUCCUAAUAUAUUCUGGGGUAGGCAAAGACAUGAAAAGAUUGAGUCAGGCCCUUUGUAAAACCUAGAAAUUCCUGGCAAUUCAGCAAGGCAAGUGAAUCAGUGAGGAAGGGAAGGUGGUCAGCCUAUUUUGAGAGGAUGCUUUCAUUGAUUAUAUAAAUCUCAAGCGAAGCACUAAAGACAUGAGAACUGUUUCUGACGUAGAGAGGAAGUUAUGAGCUUCUCAUGAACUAUGCAUUACUAAAAUGCAAAACCCAUCAGUUUGCGCAGGUUCCCAAUCAAUUUCUGGGAGAAUCUGGAGGUGUUACUUCGGAUCUGUAGGCUUUGAAAGCUAUCUGCUCUAAAAAUUAAUCAUCUCUCUGCCCUUAAAUGCUGUCAAGCUUUUUUUCUUCUGUAAUAUAGUCUCCCAGGUGAAAAUGACUGAUAGAAAGAACUUAUUAUCCUAGGAGAAUAGUAUACUGGAGUAAUACACUAACAUGAAAUAGCAGCAAUAAUUUUGUUUCUUUCAUAAAUGGGUUAAAAAGUAACAGAACUGUAAGUGCAGCAAGCUAAGUCCCAAGCUACCUCCAACACUGGAACUCCAUCUUACCCAUAGGCAAGCCUGAAUCUGCUAACCUAUAGGAAAUACUGCCAUCUCUACUGUUUUCCAGAGGUUUUCUUUAAGUAUUAAGUAGUUUGUGAUCUAAUUUUUGAGAAAAAUUUUACUACAAGGGUUUCAGUAAGGUUCAUCUUACAGAUACUUAGGAAACAGAUGUUUCUCUCUCUUUUUUAGUCACACCCAGAACCUCUGAGACACAUCCCAUAGAAAGAAAUAAUAAACCAGUUAACAUACCUUAAAUCAUGAAUAGAUGAUACAUCACUAUUCAAAAAAUCUAAACAAUAAAUUAAACUCCCUCAUUUAUAUCUUUUAAUGCUGACAAGUUAACCCAUUAUAGACAUUUUGAUUUGACAGUACAAAUUUCUUAGAGCUUAUUUCUAAAGACAAAAUUGAUGUUUACCCAAGGUUAUGAAUCAACAAAAUUUAAAUCUGAUCUGUGUACUAUCCAAGCUCGCACAAGCCAAAAAAUGAUAAUCACUGGGUUGAGGAUCCAUUAGUGAGUCAUCUAGUCCAUUCUCUUGUAUCAUGACAGGAUUGAUUUCAUUUCCAGCUCUGAUGGAUGAAUGUCAAGUCUAGCCUUGAAUUUUUCAUUGAAGGUGAUUCCAUAACCUUCCCUGGCAGCUUGUUUUAUACUUAUUGUGCCUAGAACAGUUUAGUAUUUUAACUCUCCAAUUACAGCUUAAGUCUAUUAUCUCUUAUCUUUGAGCCAUGUAGGAAAAAAUAUCUUCUCACAUUUUUGUAGUAUAAUUUGUAAGUUUGUAUGUAACAGAAAAAUAAGUUGUUCCUUAAUCAUAUGGACCAACCUUUUAAAAAUCUCAGUAGUCUUCCUAAUUUCUUCAAUUUGUUUAAGGUUUCCAAAAUAUUAUCCUGAAUCUAUUUUUACUGGUAAAACCAGUCAUAUCCCCUAAUUAUACAAACUUAGUACAACACAAAUCUUUAGGAAAGACAGGAAUUCACUUUAAUAUUAUCUAAUCACAUAAUGAAUUCAAGAUUUAGAAGUCAGGUUUAUAAUCACAAUAGGAGAACUGAUCCUUUAAAUACUAAUCAUUGUUUUAAUGGUACUAAUAUACAAGAAAUGUUGUGCAGGCUAAAAGGAAAACAACAACAACAACAGAAAACAACUUCCUAACUAAUUAAUCUUUAAAAUAACUUUAAAAUCAGGGACUUGCACUAUUUGGAGGCAGUGGGAAAAAAUCCGCAGAAACUGCACAGAAAGCCAAAUGAGCGAAUCUUCUAGCAGUUCUUUAAUACAUAAAGCAUUUGGAAGCUAAUAUUUCUUAUGGUUCCUCCUAAGUCUCAUAGAUUAUGGCUAAUAUCUCAUGACACCAAAAGUAAUACUGCAGCAGAUAUUAAAGCAUUUUUUUCAGCUACUUAUUCUAUUAAAUAUUAAUUGCAAGCCUGUGCAUGUACUGUAUAUAUAAGGUAUUAGGUAACUGAGUUCCUGCUCAGUUCUAAAUCAAUAAAAGAUAACAUGUACAGCAUCAAUCACUUUUUACUCUUUUUUUACUACCUAAUACAAAGAGCACUGAGGCUUAUUUUUUUCUUAAGUAAACAGUCCCGGAAAUCUUUAAAGUUAAGGAUUCACUGGCUAGCCUUUAUCAUUGAUUCUUACCUAUAAAAGAAAGAUUUUUUUCCAAAAGCAUUUCUCUCAGCAAGACUUCAUGCUCAUGUCCAAUAGCACUGAUCGCUUUAAGUUAAGAAAUGGAAGAUUACUUUGGAAAAUAACCAAUGUCACAACAAAAAACAUAGGUAAAGUAAUUCAUGAGAAAAUUUGUUGGCCUUCACUUUCAUUUCAUCGUAAUUAAUGAUUUGAACACUAAGUCUACAGAUUCCUUACAGGGAUCAUCAACAUAUAUUUUACAUAAUUAAGAUCCAUUACUUAUCAUUUAUUCUGUACACAUAAGAGUGAUAGUUAUAUUUGUACUAUUUUUUCUCUCAAGAUUUAAAAUAAAGUGUAAGCUUAAAACCUUUAAGUUACUCCUUAAUGGUUUAUGUAUCAAUUUUCUAAUUUAGUAAAGAGUGAAAUAAACUUUUUUCCUUUAUAUUCUGAAAUUGUUAGGUACUUAAUACAUCUGAAACAUCUUACUGCAACAAAACAUCUUCUUAAUUGAUUUUUCAGAAGCGUGAACUUAUGUCAGGGAAAGAUGAAAUAAUAUUUUACAGUGAAGUCCUUUUCACUUCACUGACAGCCUGUUGAUCCAAUGUGCUAUUCUUAGCAAUAUGCAAAAAAGUCACUGCUGAAAUAUUUUUAACAUAUCCAUCUAGAGGUCAAAGUUCUGUUCUGGAGGCUUUUAAGGAGAACCUUAUGAAACAUCACAAUAAAGAAUCUUACAUUAAAAAACAAUUAAAUUCUUUGUUCUGUUUAGUGUAACUUCUUCAAAGGUAAACUACAGAUCAUCUUACCAUUACAAUUAAUUACUUAAAUUAUAUCAACAUUUUAUGCUGAAGAAGAAAAAAUCUAAUUGCAAGGAAUUGUUUCAUACAUACAAAGUUUUAAUCAAUUGAAGCUAUAUAUUACAUUAAACUAUACUAGCAGUUACAGAACAAAAAUGUGGGCAAAUGAAGAAUGGCAAAAAUGUAAGAAAAAUAUCACAAGCAGAUUUUAUACUGCACCAUAAGCAGAAACACUUAGUCUAUAAUAAUACCUGUUAUUGAUGUAUGGCAAUGACCAUGAGGCAAAACUUGUAAAUAACCUCACAAGCCAUCUUCUAUUCAUGCAAUCUAGCAGCCUAGUUUCCCGUAAGCAUCUGAACUAUUACUGAAAAAUAGCCUCUUGGCAUUUACAAAGAGGUUGACUUCAUACUUUAGUCCAUGCAUAUACGAUUAGAUAGUUAUAUUUAAAAUCAAUAUGCAGUCCUUCAGAAGACAUUAUGCUUUUAAAACCUUAACUUUAAAUUGAUUUUUAACUAUUUUAUGCACCUCAAAAUUAACAUCUAAUUCAGCAACAUACUUGAAGAUAAUGCACUCACACAGUCAAGUAUUAGGCUUUUCUGUACCAGAAUGGAAUUGAAAAUCUCCCUCAUUAUUCUCACUGAUGUUGCUGCAUAUUCAAUAACUUAACUUGAGCCAUAAUCUGGAGAGGAUAGGGAAGAUUACUUAGACUGCAGAGAAGUUAUUCUUAAAAAUUGCUAUUAUUAUUUUUAAACAUGACAUUAUAAGAAGACUUUGCCAGAUUGUUCAUUGACAAUAGUACCAAAUUUUGGAUUAAAAAGUAAUGAACAACUGUUUCAAAAGUAGAAUUUAUUAGAUUAAUCCACUUUCAGAGAGCCAUGUUUAAUGUUGAAGACAGUCUCACUGAAUACUUAAAAACACAAAAAAAUCCCAAAUCACAAAUAUAAUUAGAACUCUAUCCUGCUGCUGUUAAACUUAAUGGGAGCAGGACUGUAGUAGAUACCAUGUGAAUAUUUGGAGUGGAAAGAACACAUUUUAAGAGAUAACCACCACAUGCAUCAUUACUACAGGAAGUGCUUCUCAUGCAUAACUAAACAUUAUUGCUUGUUUCCUAUUCUACUACUGAACAGUGAAAGCUAGAUCUUCAAACUGGAUGCAGAGAUUUAUGGAAGGAUUCUCUUUGACUUGGGACAAAGCCUAUGAAUUUGAAACUGUUUGCUCAAUAACAAAUUGAAAUAGGAGAGCUACUUAUUUGGGACUUUAUUAAUACAAGUUUGAGGUUACAAAAAUAAUUCCUAUAAAAUUUGAAAUAAAUACUUAGUCCUGAAAACUCAGUGCUGUGUGGAGUUCCCCCAGUAGCCUCACUGGAUCCUGAGGAUCUCUAAUCAGUUCAACACUACCAUAAAAAAAGAAAAAAAAAAUCUCACAAAAUUCAAGCUACAUAAUGCUUCUUUUCUAUAUCACUAGAAGGUUAGACACAUUUUAGUGCUAGUUAGACAACAUAUCACAGCAUUUGAAAACAUUCUAAUUAAAAUUCAUAUUCAAAACAAAGCAAUGCCGUGAAAUCCGACACUAUCUAUGCAACUUAUUAAUUUAAUCACAGGUUAGUUGAGAUUGGAAGGUCCUUCAAGAGAUCAUCUAGUUCAACCUCACUGCUUGAAGCAGAUUAAACUGGUUUUAAUAGAAAACCAGAUAUGACUUUUGACUAAUCAAAGAGGUUCGAUCAGGUAUAUGAAUGUGUAGCCACCAAACUGACACUUCCCAUACUCCAUCAGAUUUUUUUUAAGCAGUGUAAGAGAAAGCUCCGCAGUGACCCUCUAGCUGAUUGAAUGUAAAACAGAGGAGUAUGAAAUGUGUUUUGUGAAGCAGAACUUUAUGUCAGGUUAAAGCUAGACACAUCUCUUCCACACAGUCUAAGCUCGUCAAUUGUGCACCUAAAAUUUUAUGGGAAAGGAUACUGUUUGAUGCAGUCCACCAGUGGUCCAUAACAACAGUCAUUCACAGUACACUGCAGACAAAUAAGAGAAGUAGUAUAGUGAUGGGCAACUACAAAACCAUUACAGUUAAACAGUAUCUUAAAAACAGUAAUUACUUUUCUUCAGAAAGGCUAUCAGAUGCUGUUCAGAUUUAAUCACAGAAAACAAAAACUGCAUGCUUUUAUUCACUAUAAAAGCAAGCUAUUAAAAAGUGAAAUGUUCCCCUCACAAAUAUUGCCUUGCCAUUUAUGGUGCACCCUGACCUCAGUGAUAGUUUACGAUGACAGUAAUUAAAUGAGGUUUAAAAUCUUUUACUCUGCUAGGCAGAUAACAGCAUUGCCACAGGAAAAAAAAAAAAAAAAAGAAAAGAAAAAAAAGAAAAAAGAAAAAGACAACUGUGAUUAAUACCUGAUAGAUCUGAUUUGCUAGAACUCCAUCUGGAAUCUGAGAAGGAUCCCGUAGCAUACUAUUUAUAAGAGUUUUGGAUGCUAAUGAAAAAAAAGAAUAAAAACAUAAAAUCUGUUAGAUUCGUUAUCCACUUGGCAUGAAGAGAGACAUGCUUUUAUUAAGGAAAAUAUUGACAAUUUUGACAUUUUUUAGAGUUAACCAGCCAGCAACAACAAAUUGCAUUUAUUGCAAUUUAUCCACUCUUAAAUAUGAAGUCUAAAAAGUCUUAAAACAUCAGAACAUUUUAUUAGCACAGAGUGAAAGCAGGCCCUUGUUUACUUAUUCAGUUUCACUGGACAGUUUGUGCUUCAGAAGCAUCAUGUGGCUCCUAAGUAAAUGGCUUGAUAUAAACAAAAUGUAACUCAAAAUAACCUCCAUAUCUUAUAAGAACUUAAAGAAUACAUAAAAGCUCAAAAUAACCUUUAAGAAUUAUGCUUGGUUUGAACAAUCUUAAGUAUGUGAUUGACUUGAUGAUUUCAGUCUAGCAGUUCUCAAAUGUAUUUAUUUGUACAGUGUCAACACUUCUAUUUGUCUGUAUUUAAAAGUUGUCAAAGGCUUUUUGUGGUGUUUUCAAAUGUAUAAAUCAAAGACAAAAGAAAUCAUAGGUUAGGACUAUUUAUCAGUCUUCCAUUCACUGCUACCAAUAUCACAAUGAAAAAGAAAUAACAUAAAUCAGGAGAUGGCUUUAGUUUAUUUUCAAAUGUGAAUACAGUCCCUUGAAGAGCUGGCAUUCUGUUUUACCCACAGAUGCUUUAUUUGGGUUGGUUGCCUAUACCAAUUAAUUCCUAAAAGGAGUGGAAAAACUUUAUUCUACAAGAAUGCCUUCUAAAAACAUCAAACAUUUCAUUUUACAAUUUCUCAGAGAAAAAAAUCAACACUGCUGUGCAAGCACAAGCUGCCUCAUUCUUGGGAACAACUGCUGAUAGAGUUCAGCUGGUGGUAUAUUUACACCAUCAAAUCCCUAAGAGUAGGCCGGGCUUGGGACUAGCAAGGUUCCCAGCUUUGCCAAAGAUUUCCUGUGUGACUUCAGGCAAAUUCCUUUAACCUGUAUGUGCUUCAGUCCUGUAAACAAAGAUAAAAACAUUUUUUUUUCUGCUUCUCCUCUAAUUUUCCAUGACUCAGGGUCAAAGUUUUGUCACUCCCUUCAGUGACUGAACUGGAAGGUGCAGAUGAUAUGUCAUGAAAGGACUUGUGGAAGCUGUGAUGUGAAGGGACCCUCUAUCUAAGCAGUAAUGCCAGCGGUGUUAGUAUGUGUAGAGGCUGUGCUGAAAAUAAAAGAGAUGGUGAUUUUAAUCCUCUUCCCAGAUGUUGCCUUCUAGAAAUAUCACAUUCAAUUGUAAGUAUAGUGUAAAAAUUGAAACAGCAUGGAAGUGCUACGGUUUUUAUGUGCGCAAUAAGGUCCAUCAGAAAGUAAAGUUUUUUAAAACACUGAGCUUGCAUGGAUUUCUCCCUUACUUAAUCAAAAGUAAGAUGCCACUGGUGAACAUUUAAACAAAAGCAGGCCAUAUGCUCUUAUUCAAGCUUUUACGGUACUUUCGAUUGUGGUCACAUUGAAUAAUUGGUUGAACACAUUAAGUAAAUGAGGAAUAUAACACACAUUUCUUUCAAAAGAAUAAAUCAGUUCUAUAGUAUUGCAAUUACAUGAACGUUAAAGUAAUAAUUUAAUUGCAUUUUUGCAGACGCUAGCAGAAAUAACUAUAGUGCACCUAAGAAACUGAAAUACAUAGGAAAAAAUUCUGUAAAUCUAACAAUGUUCAGAGGAGUUGAAGAACUUGUAUUUAGAUUUUUAAAACAGCUGCAAUAAAGCAUUAAGUUUACUGUGA